rnacentral:rRNA from 1 species
CCUACGGGUGGCAGCAGUGAGGAAUAUUGGUCAAUGGACGCAAGUCUGAACCAGCCAUGCCGCGUGCAGGAAGACGGCUCUAUGAGUUGUAAACUGCUUUUGUACGAGGGUAAACGCAGAUACGCGUAUCUGUCUGAAAGUAUCGUACGAAUAAGGAUCGGCUAACUCCGUGCCAGCAGCCGCGGCAAUACGGAGGAUUCAAGCGUUAUCCGGAUUUAUUGGGUUUAAAGGGUGCGUAGGCGGUCGGAUAAGUUAGAGGUGAAAUCCCGAGGCUCAACUUCGGAAUUGCCUCUGAUACUGUUCGGCGAGAGAGUAGUUGCGGUAGGCGGAAUGUAUGGUGUAGCGGUGAAAUGCUUAGAGAUCAUACAGAACAGCGAUUGCGAAGGCAGCUUACCAAGCUACUUCUGACGUUGAGGCACGAAAGCGUGGGGAGCAAACAGGAUUAGAUACCCGAGUAGUC